rnacentral:rRNA from 1 species
UACAGAGGGUGCGAGCGUUAAUCGGAAUUACUGGGCGUAAAGCGUGCGUAGACGGCUAUCUAAGUCGGGUGUGAAAGCCCCGGGCUCAACCUGGGAAUUGCAUUCGAGACUGAAUAGCUAGGGUACGGUAGAGGGAAGUGGAAUUUCCGGUGUAGCGGUGAAAUGCGUAGAUAUCGGGAGGAACACCAGUGGCGAAGGCGACUUCCUGGCCUGUUCUUGACGCUGAGGCGCGAAAGCUAGGGGAGCAAACGGG